rnacentral:snRNA from 1 species
AUGCUUGCUUCAGCAGCACAUAUACUAAAAUUGGAAAGAUACAGAGAUUAGCAUGGCCCCUGUGCAAGGGUGACAUGCAAAUUCAUGAAGAAUUCCAUGUUUUU